CUUGGUAUUUAGAGGAAGCAGGCUUGCGCAUAUAAAUAAGCGGAGGACGCGGACGAUCAUAUCCAUAAGCGGAGGAAGGCCUUGGUAAUUUAGAGGAAGCAAGCCUCCCAAGAAAAGGAAAAACCUCUAUAUACUCUGCAUGUCUCAUAGAAUGUCGAAUUGUUUGCCUUGAAAACACAAUCAAAUACAACUUUCAACAACGGAUCUCUUGGCUCUCGCAUCGAUGAAGGACGCAGCGAAAUGCGAUAAGUAAUGUGAAUUGCAAAUUUUCAAUGAAUCAUCGAAUCUUUGAACGCACCUUGCGCCCCUUGGUAUUCCGAGGGGCAUGCCUGUUUGAGUGUCAUUCAAACCAUCAACCCCGUCGAUCUUUGAUCGGUCGGAGGCUUGGACUUUGGAGCGUGCUGGCCCAAUUGAGGUCGGCUCCUCUUUAAAUGCCUCACCCGAUAUCCCAUUGACGUUUGCCAACAGCGUGCUAAUCCUGUUGCAUCCCCAGGGUCUGGUUGGGGCUCGCUUAUAAUCUUCUUCGGACUACAUCUCGUUUUGACCUCAAAUCAGGUAGGACUACCCGCUGAACUUAACCAU
rnacentral:sRNA from 1 species